UACGAAGGGGGCUAGCGUUGCUCGGAAUUACUGGGCGUAAAGCGUGCGCAGGCGGUGAUGUAAGUCAGAUGUGAAAUCCCCGGGCUCAACCUGGGAACUGCAUUUGUGACUGCAUCGCUGGAGUACGGCAGAGGGGGAUGGAAUUCCGCGUGUAGCAGUGAAAUGCGUAGAUAUGCGGAGGAACACCGAUGGCGAAGGCAAUCCCCUGGGCCUGUACUGACGCUGAGGUGCGAAAGCGUGGGGAGCAAACAGG
rnacentral:rRNA from 1 species